rnacentral:lncRNA from 1 species
UCUUUCCUUUCUCUCCGAUGGUGGAGUCUAGGCGACGAAGGCGACCCUAGCACUGGAUGGAGCCCUCGAUGGAGCACGCGCCGCCGCCGGCGGUAAGCUCUCCUCCUUUUCCAUGUCCAUCUCCUCCAUGUGAAUAGCCGCAGGUAAGCUGUCGGUUAGCUCUGCCCUCUCAGUUGUGUUACUUGUAAUCCAUGUCAAUGGCGUGGUGCUGGAUCUGGUCAAUGUCCAUGGUGUGGAGCUAGAUCUGGCACGUCUCCAUGUGCUAGAUCCGUUCAAUGUCCAUGUCAUAAUCUUCUACUUCUUUUCUCCAUCUGUCUACUAAUUGCUGAACAUAGGGUCUUGGCACCGAAAAGAGCAUGUCUUUCAAGAUAGGGUUUAAGGAAUGUUUGCAUGAUCAAAAGGCAUGGCUUUGUUCAAGGCUAAAAUACUAGCACUUGUGUCAAGAAAGUUUAGUUAUGAUUUUCAGUUAUACGUGUCAAAAUUCAGUUGAGGUGGUCAGGAAAAGUUCAGUUAUUGUGGUCAGAAAUAUUAAGAUAUCGCUUUCUUCAGGAUUGAAACACUAACACUUGUAGAUCUGAAGUGGGCGCAAGGAUUGUUGGCAGAAUCAAAAUGAUUCGUGAUAGAUCUCAAGUUAGGGUUCAUGAGUGAAGCAUUAACACAUGUGUCAAUUAAGUUCAAUCAUGUCCAUGUAAUUAUUAGUCUCCAAAAAGUUCAGUUUCAGGCAUGUCUUUGAAGAGUUUGGUUACUUCUGCCAAGAUUCAUCACAGGGAAUUUUGUCUUCUACAGAUGGACCAAUGGUCGUUGCUUAGGUUCAUUGUGCAUACAAAAGCUAUUAUUCAACCUCGCCCUUUUCCUUGGCGUCUAGACACAGUUACUAUUGAUAAUUUGAAGAAGGAGUUGAUGCAACUAGGGUUAAGCAGAGAUGAUUUUAUCUACUAUAGAAGCAUCCAUUGACAGGUAUGAGGCUACAGGAUGAAAAUGAUUGAACUGACGGAUCAAAAUACAAUUGCUAGCAUGGUUGAAGAAUACAAUUCAUGAUAGACUGUUGAAUUGCAUUGUACAGGAAACCUGAUUGGUUUGUAGAACCAGCUCCAUAUAUGUGUUGCUCAACAUGGAACAUCUAUUGUUGAGCAUGGAGCUACUGUUGCUCAAGCUGCAAUUGUUGUUGAGCAUUGAGUUGUUGUUGCUCAAGCUCCAAUUGUUGCUGAGCAUGGAGCAGUUGAUGCUCAAGCUCCAAUUUUUGCUGAGCAUGGAGAAGUUGUUGCUGCCCAUGGGUCAACUAUUGGUGAUGAUCAUGUUGCAAGUGGUGUUGAUUCUGUGCAGGUGUAGGUUGUGGCUAAUGGUCAGGAAUACCAAUCAGGGUUUGUUGAUGGUCCAACUGUUGAUGAAGAAAUUUAGUUAAGUCAAGCUAAUUAACAAGAUUGUUGUAUUUUUUUCCCAUGAAGAGUACAAUGUUGCUGACUAUAGUGAUGAUGAGGACCUUGAUAUUUAUGUGAGACAAAAAAGAUGAGAAGAGAAUAUGAAGAGAAGUGGCAGAAAGAGAUGGCAAAACUGGUGUUUAAUCAGAGGAUGAGUAUGAGGAUAUUUUCUGUUGGUGAGGAUGCUGACCCAAUGGUGAAGUGCCACUCGGAAAUAUUGAAGCAAAUUUAUUUGGCAAAAGCAGAGGUAGCAAGCAUAAGAGAAGGAUGGAAGAUAGGAAGAUGGUUGUACAAGAGAGAAUGGCAGAGAAGAUGAAGCUAGUUGAUGAGAAAAUAAAAAUCAAGGAAGGAGGAGUGUGGUUUAUCUGAUGAGAAAAACCAAUCAACUCUAGAAUGCAAUUUGAUGAUUCAGUUAUGAGCAGACAACGUCCAUGUUCCGGUUUGCUUCUUUGAAUCAUCAAAUUGCUCUACUGAAACCAUGUGUGUGUCACUGAACUACUGAACACAUGCUUGUGUUCAUAUACCUAGAUUGGUACUCUAAAUAUGGUGAUUCAAAU